AUUGAACGCUGGCGGAAUGCUUUACACAUGCAAGUCGAACGGCAGCACGGACUUCGGUCUGGUGGCGAGUGGCGAACGGGUGAGUAAUGUAUCGGGACGUGCCCAGUCGUGGGGGAUAACGUAGUGAAAAUUACGCUAAUACCGCAUACGAUCUAUGGAUGAAAGCGGGGGAUCGCAAGACCUCGCGCGAUUGGAGCGGCCGAUAUCAGAUUAGGUCGUUGGUGGGGUAAAGGCCCACCAAGCUAACGAUCUGUAGCUGGUCUGAGAGGACGACCAGGCACACGGGAACUGAGACACGGUCCAGACUCCUACGGGAGGCAGCAGUGGGGAAUUUUGGACAAUGGGCGAAAGCCUGAUCCAGCCAUUCCGCGUGCAGGAUGAAGGCCCUCGGGUUGUAAACUGCUUUUGUACAGAACGAAAAGGUUUCUACUAAUACUAGGAGCUCAUGACGGUACUGUAAGAAUAAGCACCGGCUAACUACGUGCCAGCAGCCGCAGUAA
rnacentral:rRNA from 1 species